UGGGGAAUAUUGGACAAUGGGCGAAAGCCUGAUCCAGCCAUGCCGCGUGUGUGAAGAAGGUCUUCGGAUUGUAAAGCACUUUAAGUUGGGAGGAAGGGCAGUAAGCGAAUACCUUGCUGUUUUGACGUUACCGACAGAAUAAGCACCGGCUAACUCUGUGCCAGCAGCCGCGGUAAUACAGAGGGUGCAAGCGUUAAUCGGAAUUACUGGGCGUAAAGCGCGCGUAGGUGGUUCGUUAAGUUGAAUGUGAAAGCCCCGGGCUCAACCUGGGAACUGCAUCCAAAACUGGCCAGCUAGAGUAGGGCAGAGGGUGGUGGAAUUUCCUGUGUAGCGGUGAAAUGCGUAGAUAUAGGAAGGAACACCAGUGGCGAAGGCGAGCACCUGGGCUCAUACUGACACUAAGGUGCGAAAGCGUGGGGAGCGAACAGG
rnacentral:rRNA from 1 species